CCUCAGGUGGGUGGGGUUGGAAGAUGCAAAUGUCCUCUCAGUCUCACCACAGGGCACUGUGUGUGCUUCCUUCCCCAAGCCAUUAGAGAGUGGCCUUCGUUCCUAGGGGACAGCACUUUGAGGGUGCUGGGCCAGAGAGCCAGAAUGAACACUCUGUCCAGCCAUGAUGGAAGAUCAGAUAGGGUGGCUCCGUUCUUCUGCUUCUUUUUGGAAAGAAGAUCAGCCCUUGUUAAGGAAGUGCCCUUGGGUCGCUGCACAUUGGAGAGGGGAGGGCUUGGUUCUCCUUUGGCCCAGAAUGGUGCUGCUCUCUGAGCAAAAACUCCCGCCAUUGUCGCCGAGCUUGUGGAGGCUGUGAUGCUAACUCCAGGAUGGACCCACUGCCCUGGGGUCUUGUGAGUUUCCUCACUUGCUUCCCUCCCUUCUCUAUCACACUUGGACCUCUUUUGUGCCACUCACCCACCACAGGGCCCUUCUGACUUCUCUGAGGACCAUGACCCUGUGUGACCAGGGUGUGGCUGACCCCUGGAGGCUUAUCUCCAAUCCCCACACACCCACAACCCAUCCUGAGGCCUUAAGAAAUGAGAUGCAUCUUUAAUCCAGAUGCUAGUCAAUUCUUAUUUUGUAAAAAAAAAAAACAUAAAUCCUGAAACUACCAAAACAAGCAACCCAGUGAGUUAUUUAUAUGGCAAACACCCUUGUAGCCACUGCCUAGGUCAGCAAGCAGGACACUGCUGACACCCCAGAGGCUCCCAUGUGCCCUGACCCAUCACCACCCCUCAUGUGCCCUCUAAAGUAUCCACGAUCCCACUUGUAUGAUUAUCACAUCCUUGAAUGACUUUAUAUAGUUUUGUCACCAAAGAGGAUGUCCCUAGACUGAAAGCAAAUUUUCCUUUUGGAGGGUGGUGCAGGAGUUUAUCCAGACCUCAUAUGGGGAAAUGGCCUAAAGCCCCCUCUCCUCCUCUCUUUCCUCCCCUGUCCUGCAUGGGGGUUUCUCCCCCUUCUGAUUCUGCUUGCUCACUCUAUGCUGCUCCCUGGUUCCCCUUCUCCCAUGACCACCUCACCUGCCUGGUGCUCUCUGGUUUCCCAGCUGGACUGCCUCAUUCCUUCUGGAGAGCAGCCCUUAAAAACCCUGGAAAAGGAGACUUGCCUGUGUGA
rnacentral:lncRNA from 9 species